rnacentral:rRNA from 1 species
AACGAACGCUGGCGGCAGGCCUAACACAUGCAAGUCGAACGCUCGUAGCAAUACGAGAGUGGCAGACGGGUGAGUAACACGUGGGAACCUUCCCUAUGGUUCGGAAUAGCCCAGGGAAACUUGGGGUAAUACCGGAUAAGCCCUUCGGGGGAAGAUUUAUCGCCAUUGGAUGGGCCCGCGUCGGAUUAGCUAGUUGGUGGGGUAACGGCCUACCAAGGCGACGAUCCGUAGCUGGUCUGAGAGGAUGAUCAGCCACACUGGGACUGAGACACGGCCAGACUCCUACGGGAGGCAGCAGUGGGGAAUAUUGGACAAUGGGCGCAAGCCUGAUCCAGCCAUGCCGCGUGAGUGACGAAGGUCUUUCGGAUUGUAAAGCUCUUUUGGCGGGACGAUAAUGACGGUACCCGCAGAAUAAGCCCCGGCUAACUU